UUAAGUGAUAUUUGUCGGGCGGUAGUUUACGUUAAAAUACAACUAUAGUGUUUAUAAUAACUUUGUCAAUAUAAACAUUAAUUAAUUUUAUCUUAAGGUCGUAAACUAAAUAAGGAAUUAGCUUCGGAAAGGUUAUAAAAUGUGCGCGAGUCGUAUUUCAAAUCUAUCAUGAGUGACAGUCGUAAUAAAGUUGAUUCGUAAACAUUUCUGAUCACAUUCUAUUUUUGAUAUUAUAACGACUUUAGUGAAUGAAAAUUUAAGAAUAAAUGCCGGUGUAUGACAAUAUCCAAUGCAAACGUAUUAUUUACAAAAAGUGCUAAUUUAAGUCAAAAGUUCAGGGUUUCAAACCAGACUUUGCGAAACUGUUAUUUCUGCUGACAGAACGAAUUUGUUUACCUACCUUCUUUGAUUUUAUUACACUUUCGAACAUCGAGUAACAAAUGAACGCACGGGUCUUGCGAACGUGACUUUUUAUUUCCAUUUUCUGUGUAAAAUGUCGAAGCCUUACGUUAUCCAGGAGGACAGUCCAAAUCUUGUGAUUGUGCCUAUCGAUAACGUCGAUACGUUCUACGAACCGUCACCUAAGAAAGUCAAAGAAAGUGAUGCUCCUUUGCCUUCACGUACUCCAAGCAUAAGUCAUACUAGUGUUUUUGCAAGAAAAACUGGUGCAAAACUGAAUUCCAGUGCCAGAAAUAAUGAUGUCCUGAUUGAUGUACGUAAAGUGCAAAGGUCACCAACAAGUUGGGCAAGUAAUUACCUUCAGAGUAUUGGUGGGACUUCAAAAAAGUUUGACAGAAUUUAUUCAUUGGCGUCAAAAUCAACGUCUCUUCACACAAAUACCACAACCAAAUUAGGAAACAGAGAAACUACUUUUAUUAAUCAACAACAAACUAACACAGAAUCAGAUCAGAUAAUAAUGAAGAAAAAGAUUAACAUCAAUCUUAUAAAACCUAAACCUGUACCUCAACCCGCCAUGGCCAAAGAAACUAGUAAGCCAAUUUGUAACACAAACAAUAUUUCAGCAAGUGCUAACGAAGUACGAAAAGAACCGUCUUUGCCCAAAAAUUACAAGAUACCCAUGCAAUCAAAAUACAAUAAGCCUUCAAUUCACCCAGUAAUAGAAAAAGAAACUGUUAGGCCAAAUAGUAACAAUAGCAUUUGUAUACAAAACAGCAUCACAACGAAAAACCAGGCAUUAAUUUCAUCAUUAAAAAAUAAUAACGAGAUGGUUAAAACAAACCAUCAUAAAACUAAUACAGCAACGACCAAUGAAACUGCUGACCAAAAUGAGAAUAAAAAGCCAAAUCAAUUAAAAUAUGAUUUGAAUAUUAGCCAAAACAAAAAUAACCAAGACAAAACUCAGGUAAAGAUGAACAAAAGUACCGAACAACUCAAAAAUGGCAAUGAAAUAAAACAGCUGAAAAAGAAAGUUACAGUUCAACACAUCGAUACACAAUAUACAACAAAAUGUGAUGAACGAAUGCCACCACAUAAAGAAACUCAACAAAGUCAACCGGUAAACAACAAAGAAAAUGAUCAACCAAAGCAUGACAAGGUAAUUAAAAAGCGCAAAGCAAUUAAAGAAACAACUUGUCCAGUGGAUUAUAAAGACCCCUGCCCAUCCAGAAACACAAAAGAAACUCGUAAAACAAACGAAGAUAUUAUUGCUCAUAUUAAAACUAUUAAAGAUAAGUAUAAAUUAAACAAUAGAAAAGUACCUACUUUUUCUACUAAACUCAAAACAAAAAAAGAACAUAUUUCAGAUGUAUUAAAAAAAGUCAGUAAACUAGAAAAACAUACUACAUUAGAAGACAAUCGAAGCCAAGAAAGCAAGUCAAAAAUACCUAAGAACAAGGCAGUCACAGACAAAGAUAUGCAUUUGCCGCGAACUCUUAUAACAAAGCAUGAUAUUACUGAAAAACUCAAAAAGAAACGUGCCGCAGAAAAAAAAUCUGGUCAAGGUGAACAUUCCGGCAGUAAGUCCAAAAAAAUUAAAUUGUCUUCGCCUGAUACUAACACAGCCAAAAUGACAACGUGUAAAACUGUUCAUGAAAAAAGAUUAAGUAAAAGUAUUUCACCGAUCAAAAGCGUCGUUUCCCGAAUAAAAACAGACCAUCAAUCUCAUAAUUCUGAAAAGUGCUACCAUAAAGGGUCAGGCCAUUAUCACUCGAAUUAUGAAAAAACAUCUCGCAACGAAAUUGAUUAUCACUGUCAAAAUUUAGAAAAACAUGCACAAAGAGGUUCAGACGUUGAUUUAAGAACAAAACUUAAGCGUAAAUAUCCUAAAAUCGAUUAUCGAAAAGAAGAUUAUAACUGGAACCAUAUUCACAAGAAAGAUACGUUUGCAACAGUGCCAAACUGUGACCGAUUUGUGCCCGAAGAAAAUUUGAUUAUAUCAUUUAAUGCGGAAGACGACAAUGACGAAAAACCCACAAUGAAAAAGUCACCGGUAAAGAAAUUGACGCGUAAACCAUCAUCACCUAAAGAUAAAAAACGUAAAAAAAUAAAACUAGAAAUUAAUAUUGUAUUUGGCCAUGGGGAUACAACUGAUGAAGAAUCUUCCAAAGGGGAGGUUGAUACAAGCGCCGAGACGAUGGAAAAUAUGGACCUCAGUUUCCUUGAUGACUUCAAUGUAGAUGAAAUUGCUGAAAGUCUUAAUGAGUGUAAAGACUGUACCAGAAAAUUUAAUGAUGAAGAAACCGUUGUUGAUGUGAACGCACAACACAGCAUAUCAAACAACAAUAAGAUAAUAGAGGCGUUGGCUAAUAAGGAAAGUGUGAUAUUUAAUAAAAAUGAAAGUAUGUGUAAGGAUGAGUUUGCUGAAAAUAAAAUAGAAUAUCGCCAAGAACCUGCAUUAAAGUUAGUAGUUGACAAACAUAGGGCCUGCUGUGAAGAAACCCAAAACACAAUUAACUCUAAUAUAAGUACAGGGUUAGAUAAUAGAAGUACAGAACAAAGCGCCAGACCUGAGACCAAAACGGAUAUACUCCAGAAUUACAAUUCUCAAGACACUAACGCACGGGCUAUAUCUUUGGAAGUACCUACGGUAAAGAAGAGUUCUGAGAAUUUUACUGACUCUGAUCACAAUAGCAAUAUACCAAUUGAUAAAGCUGAAGAAUUUGCCGCGAUAAAUAUAAGUAAAGCAAUUGUUGAUAUAAACACAAAUGAUAAUAAAGAUUUGAUUACAAUGUUAGAGAAUAAUUAUGAAGGAGUUGAAAAAACACAUAAAGACAACGGUUUGACCAAAAUGGAGCGUUCAGGAAAAAUAAAAGGUACUAAUAAUUAUGAACAUCUAACAUCUUCUGAAAUACCAGUGGCAAUUUCGAAUUCUGAAAGUAAUAUUUACUCUGAUCGCAACGAUCUUAUAGAUGCUCUUCAAGAUAACAGUAAUAUAGAAAUUAAUGCGAUUAAAUCCUUUAUUGCCUCUACGAACAAUAAUAUCGAGGAAAAGAAUAAAAAACAUUCUGAAGUUGAGAUGUCGUCGACAGUAACGAAGUAUUCGAAUACGCCCUACAAAACUGAGAUUAAACAAAUAGAGACAGUCAUGAUUUCUGACCACAAUACAACUGAAAUAUUGACGUGCAUUAAACCAGAUCCUGAUGUAAUUUUAAUUGAUGAUUCAGACAGCGAAAAUGAGAUAGGAGUUAAAAAAAAACAGUCGAUGAAAGACAUAAAUGCAGAAAACAAACAGCCUAGCAAGGUAAAUUUGCUAGAUAAAAUAGAUAAAGUAACGAUUAUAGAGCCUGCAGGAGAAAACUCAAAAUCAGUAAUAAUAUUAGAUACAAACGAAGAAGACUUAAAUCGUGCUAAGGGGUGUAGGCCAGAGAAAUCAGAUGAAGUGAUAAUUAUUGAACCUACUGGCGUAAACUUAGAAUCAAUAUUGAUACUAGAUACAGACUACGCCAUUGAAGAAAGUAUUGACGCUACCCAGUUAAAUGAAAGUAAUCAGGACGCUAAUAGUGAAAAUAUAAUUAUAGCUGAACAAAGAAAACCUGACGAAACAGCACAGAAAGAUACUUCCAUCGAAAUUAAAAAUACAAGUGAAAAAAAUAGAAUCCAAGACAACGUAACAAAUGAACAAUCUGGAACAGCAAACACAGAUAUACCUAAUAGCAAAGAUAAGAAAGAGAAUUUACAGAAUAGAGAAAAAGUAACCGGUAAAAACUGAUACAAAAACAUCAGAUGAGCCUCCAAGUAAAAACCCAACAUUAACGGAUGAUAUUCCCGAAAAAUGUACACCAAAUACAGUUCCAAUAAAUACAAAAACACAGAAUGUUAGCGCAAAACUUGAUACAAAGGUGCACACUAAAGAAAAAGUUAACAAAGAUGGUGAAAUUACAGGAGUAGAGAGAAGCCUUUGUUUAGCCAAUAACGAAUUUGUACAAAUGCUGCAAACAAAGUUGUAUUCGUUUUUUAGACAAAAAUGCACAGUUACAGACGUAAUACGACACGAUGGAAGAUUCUCCAAAAUAUAUCGUUGCAAAGAUUCUCGCAAACAGGACUACGCUAUAAAAACAUUGAAGAAACAGUUCGACGGUUACAACGUAGGCCUUCGGAAGCAAAAUAUGAUGAUGGAACUCCAAAACGGCGUUCCAGAGAACAAUCUCAACUGUGUCCGUUUGAUCACCGGAUUUGUGGUGUCCGGGUUAUGGUGUUAUUUGAUGGAGUACUAUCCCAUGAAUCUUCAGCAGGCCUUUGUUGAGAACAAACGAAGUUUUCACAUUGAUCAUGUGCAAAUUUUGAGCAGACAGUUGGUUUCUGCUGUUACUAUAUUGAGGAACAAUAACAUCAUACAUUCAGAUAUAAAACCGAGCCACAUCCUACUCAAUUCAUCCCAAACCCGACUAAAACUCUGCGGCUUCGACCAAGCAACCUAUCUCCAACACAGCAACCUAUUACCAAACACCGGCACUGUCAACUACCGGGCACCAGAACUCAUACUAGGCUAUCCAGCCGGUUACGGGAUAGACGUAUGGUCGACCGCGCUAGUGAUGUACGAGAUGGCAACCAGUAGGAAGCUGUUCCCUGGGUUUUAUAAUAAUAAUAUUUUGUAUCAGCAGCUAUGCUCGCUCGGUGCUAUACCUAUGGAGAUGUUGAUGGAGUCCAAGUUUAGGAAUGCGCAUUUUAAGGGCACGGCGUUUAUGAAAAUAAUUGGGAGUAAAGAGAGAAUCCUAAUAAACGAGAUCGAAUUCAACGAAAGAUUGAAUGGCACCCUGUUCCAAGUCUACACCGCCGAUUGGGGGAAAGAGAGAGACGUAGCGAACAAGCGAGAGGACAAGAAGAAACUGCGUGCAUUUUUGGAACUCCUUCAAAAUAUGCUAGUUAUGCAUCCGCGGUGUAGGAUUCCUAUUGAAUUCGUAUUCGCGAACCCUUUUAUUUACGAGUCGUUGGAUGACUGUUGAUUAGUUAAGUGAAGAUUAUAGAAGAAUAUUUACGUUUGAUUUGUUUAGUUUUGUUAUACGAAGAGUAAAUUUUAAGUUUUGUA